rnacentral:rRNA from 1 species
CAGCAGCCGCGGGAAUACGUAGGUGGCAAGCGUUGUCCGGAAUUAUUGGGCGUAAAGCGCGCGCAGGCGGUUUCUUAAGUCUGAUGUGAAAGCCCCCGGCUUAACCGGGGAGGGUCAUUGGAAACUGGGAGACUUAGGGUGCAGAAGAGGAGAGUGGGAUUCCAUGUGUAGCGGUGAAAUGCGUAGAUAUAUGGAGGAACACCAGUGGCGAAGGCGACUCUCUGGUCUGUAACUGACGCUGAGGCGCGAAAGCGUGGGGAGCAAACAGGAUUAGAUACCCCAGUAGUCCCUGUCUCUUAUU